GUUCGGAUUCAUUGGGCGUAAAGGGUGUGUAGGUGGCGCGCUAAGUCGGGUGUGAAAUUUCGGAGCUUAACUCCGAAACUGCAUUCGAUACUGGCGUGCUUGAGGACUGGAGAGGAGACUGGAAUUCAUGGUGUAGCAGUGAAAUGCGUAGAGAUCAUGAGGAAGACCAGUGGCGAAGGCGGGUCUCUGGACAGUUCCUGACACUGAGACACGAAGGCCAGGGGAGCAAACGGG
rnacentral:rRNA from 1 species